GAGUUUGAUCAUGGCUCAGAUUGAACGCUGGCGGCAGGCCUAACACAUGCAAGUCGAGCGGAUGACGGGAGCUUGCUCCUUGAUUCAGCGGCGGACGGGUGAGUAAUGCCUAGGAAUCUGCCUGGUAGUGGGGGACAACGUUUCGAAAGGAACGCUAAUACCGCAUACGUCCUACGGGAGAAAGCAGGGGACCUUCGGGCCUUGCGCUAUCAGAUGAGCCUAGGUCGGAUUAGCUAGUUGGUGGGGUAAUGGCUCACCAAGGCGACGAUCCGUAACUGGUCUGAGAGGAUGAUCAGUCACACUGGAACUGAGACACGGUCCAGACUCCUACGGGAGGCAGCAGUGGGGAAUAUUGGACAAUGGGCGAAAGCCUGAUCCAGCCAUGCCGCGUGUGUGAAGAAGGUCUUCGGAUUGUAAAGCACUUUAAGUUGGGAGGAAGGGCAGUAAGUUAAUACCUUGCUGUUUUGACGUUACCGACAGAAUAAGCACGGCUAACUCUGUGCCAGCCGCCG
rnacentral:rRNA from 1 species